GACGAACGCUGGCGGCGUGCUUAACACAUGCAAGUCGAACGGAAAGGCCCUGCUUUUGUGGGGUGCUCGAGUGGCGAACGGGUGAGUAACACGUGAGUAACCUGCCCUUGACUUUGGGAUAACUUCAGGAAACUGGGGCUAAUACCGGAUAGGAGCUCCUGCUGCAUGGUGGGGGUUGGAAAGUUUCGGCGGUUGGGGAUGGACUCGCGGCUUAUCAGCUUGUUGGUGGGGUAGUGGCUUACCCAGGCUUUGACGGGUAGCCGGCCUGAGAGGGUGACCGGCCACAUUGGGACUGAGGUACGGCCCAGACUCCUACGGGAGGCAGCAGUGGGAAAUAUUGCACAAUGGGCGGAAGCCUGAUGCAGCAGCGCCGCGUGCGGGAUGACGGCCUUCGGGUUGUAAACCGCUUUCGCCUGUGACGAAGCGUGAGUGACGGUAAUGGGUAAAGAAGCACCGGCUAACUACGUG
rnacentral:rRNA from 1 species